CCCUUAGAUGUUCUGGGCCGCACGCGCGCUACACUGAUGCAUUCAACGAGCCUAUCCUUGACCGACAGGUCCGGGUAAUCUUUGAAUCUGCAUCGUGACGGGGAUAGAUUAUUGCAAUUAUUAAUCUUCAACGAGGAAUGCCUAGUAAACGCAAGUCAUCAGCUUGCAUUGAUUACGUCCCUGCCCUUUGUACACACCGCCCGUCGCUCCUACCGAUUGAAUGAUCCGAUGAAUAUCAUGGAUUGAGAGUACGAAUGGGUUCGCUCAUUUCUGCUGCUCGAGAAGUGAAGUAAAUCUUAUCAUUUAGAGGAAGGAGAAGUCGUAACA
rnacentral:rRNA from 1 species